UACGGAGGGUGCAAGCGUUAUCCGGAUUCACUGGGUUUAAAGGGUGCGUAGGUGGGCAGGUAAGUCAGUGGUGAAAUCUCCGGGCUUAACCCGGAAACUGCCAUUGAUACUAUUUGUCUUGAAUACCGUGGAGGUUAGCGGAAUAUGUCAUGUAGCGGUGAAAUGCUUAGAUAUGACAUAGAACACCAAUUGCGAAGGCAGCUGGCUACACGAAUAUUGACACUGAUGCACGAAAGCGUGGGGAUCAAACAGG
rnacentral:rRNA from 1 species